UACAGAGGGUGCGAGCGUUAAUCGGAAUUACUGGGCGUAAAGCGUGCGUAGACGGCUAUCUAAGUCGGGUGUGAAAGCCCCGGGCUCAACCCGGGAAGUGCACUCGAUACUGCCGAGCUAGAGUAUCGGAGAGGUUGGUGGAAUUCUCGGUGUAGAGGUGAAAUUCGUAGAUAUCGAGAGGAACACCGGUGGCGAAGGCGGCCAACUGGACGAAUACUGACGCUGAGACUCGAAAGCGUGGGGAGCAAACAGG
rnacentral:rRNA from 1 species